AGGAGUAUAUGGCCAGGAAGGCAUCCUGUUCUGUCCUUCAAGGGGUUGGUUGCCCUAGUAACCCUAUGGUUGGCAGACCCGCGGCAUCUGUUCGAAGCUGUUAGACCCAGCUCCUGCCAACCUAGCGGUUCGACAAUAUGCAAAUGUGAGUAGAUCAAUAGGUAUCGCUUCGGCGGGACGGUAAAAAGGUGCCCACACUGAAGGGACCAUAAGCCAGAAAAUAGUAAACUUUUGCCUAUGUAGCUUUGCCUCUGCAUAUGCCCCUCCCUUCCUGUGAGCUGGUGCCUUUCUCCAGGAAGUUCCAAGGAGAGAAGAAAGCUCAGAGUAAACAAGUGAGGUCACAAGUCUCAUUUACACCAAGUAGGUGCGGAAGGUGAGGAAGACCCUCAGCCAUUGGUCAAUUUUAGAUAAGCCAAAGGUAUAUAUUCUUUGUUUGCUGUGCACAUGUUGCAAUGGCCUUUUGCAUGGCACUGACCCACUAGAGUGACUGUGUGAUAUUAUUAUUAUUAUUAUUAUUAUUAUUAUUAUUAUUAUUAUUAUUAUAAACACAACAAGAUGAGUCCACAGCAGACACUCUGCUGGUUGUUGUAUUGGAUCACACGUCGGACACUAUUAUUAUUAUUAUUAUUAUUAUUAUUAUUAUUAUUAUUAUUAUUAUUAUUUUAUUAUGACACAGCAAACAAGAUAGACAUGCUGGAUUUCUUAUCACAAAAUCACAAGUCAAACACUUCCCAAGUGUCUAGGACUGUGUGAUGUAUUUUCGGAUGAUGUGCGCAGAUCCCAGUCGGGUGGCCUUUUGCAGUUGACAGAUCGUAAUUUUGUCAAUAUCUAUUGUUUCCAAAUGCCAGCUGAGAUCUUUUGGCACGGCACCCAGUGUGCCCAUCACCACCGGGACCACCUGCACUGGUCUUUGAAGUUCAGAGUCUUUGAAGUUCAAUCUUGAGGUCCUGAUAGCGGCUGAGCUUUUCCUGUUGUUUUUCGUCAAUGCGACUGUCACCUGGGAUGGCGACAUCAAUGAUCCAAACCUUUUUCUUUUCCACAACUGUGAUGUCUGGUGUGUUGUGUUCCAGAACUUUGUCAGUCUGGAUUAUUAUUAUUAUUAUUAUUAUUAUUAUUAUUAUUAUUAUUAUUAUUAUUAUUAUUAUUCUCUUUCUAGAAAGUGAAAAAGGAAAAUACAAUCAUGUUGGUCAAGAAUUUUGGAUAUGACAUUUGCUUAAUGGUUGACUUAUAAAUCUUAUGGUAAAGGAAAUGAUACUUGUUUGGGCCUUGGUGGUGGGGUUAUGUUUUUGUAAAAUGUUCAUUGCUUUUGUGUUUUGUUUUACUGAAAGUUGUUAAUGUAUGUACAUAAAAAAUAAUUAUAAAAUAUUAUUUAUUUAUUUAUUUAUUUACAGUAGAGUCUCACUUAUCCAAGCCUCGCUUAUCCAAGCUUCUGGAUUAUCCAAGCCAUUUUUGUAGUCAAUGUUUUCAAUAUAUCAUGAUAUUUUGGUGCUAAACUCGUAAAUACAGUAAUUACAACAUAACAUUACUGCGUAUUGAACUACUUUUUCUGCCACAUUUGUUGUAUAACAUGAUGUUUUGGUGCUUAAUUUGUAAAAUCAUAACCUAAUUUGAUGUUUAAUAGGCUUUUCCUUAAUGCCUCCUUAUUAUCCAACAUAUUCGCUUAUCCAAGCUUCUGCCGGCCUGUUUAGCUUGGAUAAGUGAGACUCUACUGUAUUUAUUUUGAAGAAAGCUAGUCAAGAAAAUACUACCAAUAACGUUGCCAUCAGUCUGAGUCAACAUGAAGGCAUGGAAAACACAGAAAACACACAAAUAAAAAUGAACAACAACAUCUCUUUUAAUGAA